rnacentral:lncRNA from 1 species
GACAUUUUUGUUGACCAUACUCGCAGGUAAAAUAAGUAGAUCAUGUGGACAGCUCCAGCUCAUUUUCCUUAAAUCAGUGUGUACAAGCUUGGGGUAUGCAAAAAAAAAAUUUUUUCUCGCGCACCGAUUAUUUUGCUGUAUAAGCAAGAGAACCCACCACAUUAGUGUAACGUAUCAUGUACAUCACACUAAUAUGUGCUCUAAUUUACCAAGUGAGAUGAGUUACUUUUAUGGCUCAUUCAGCCAUAUCACACUGCAAGCUGCAUUCAUCAAUCUUCAAUUGGAUUUUGCAAAUGCUUAAUGAAACAUGUUUCCCUUUUAUGCAGAUAUGCAAUGGCAAGCCCUUCCGUGUGUUCCAAAGACAAUGCCUACGCCUAGCCACAGCAGCUCCCUCAUACAGACUCCGCAAGCCAAGAGGCCGUGGAGGCAAAUGCAGGCAGCCAGCACACCUCGAACAGCCACCUUGACUGCGGGUGUGUCACCCUAGUCGCCAAGGAAACAUUUGAGCGAAUGCAACAGGCAAUCUGAACAGCCACUUCUCCAUGUAAACAAUACUCUUUCUCUCGGAUGACUCCUACGCCUCGCCACGCCAGCACAUUUGUGGACAGAGAUGCUGCGGAGGCACGCGUAGGUCAGAGGCAAGAAGCAGUGGCACUGGUGUCGACAUUCACCCACUUUCUUUUUCUUACACUGAGGCAGCCAGCACACCUCGAACAGCCACCUUGACUGCGGGUGUGUCAGUAGAUUCCUGUUGUACAUAUGCUCAUAAUAAACUUCAGUAAACUUGAACUUGAUAAUAAACUUGAAGGCAAAUGGGA